rnacentral:rRNA from 1 species
GAUGAACGCUAGCUACAGGCUUAACACAUGCAAGUCGAGGGGCAGCAUGGUCUUAGCUUGCUAAGGCCGAUGGCGACCGGCGCACGGGUGAGUAACACGUAUCCAACCUGCCGUCUACUCUUGGACAGCCUUCUGAAAGGAAGAUUAAUACAAGAUGGCAUCAUGAGUCCGCAUGUUCACAUGAUUAAAGGUAUUCCGGUAGACGAUGGGGAUGCGUUCCAUUAGAUAGUAGGCGGGGUAACGGCCCACCUAGUCUUCGAUGGAUAGGGGUUCUGAGAGGAAGGUCCCCCACAUUGGAACUGAGACACGGUCCAAACUCCUACGGGAGGCAGCAGUGAGGAAGAUUGGUCAAUGGGCGCAGGCCUGAACCAGCCAAGUAGCGUGAAGGAUGACUGCCCUAUGGGUUGUAAACUUCUUUUAUAAAGGAAUAAAGUCGGGUAUGUAUACCCGUUUGCAUGUACUUUAUGAAUAAGGAUCGGCUAACUCCGUG